CAGCCCCUCGAGUGGUGGGGAUGAUUAUUUGGCCUAAAGCGUCCGUAGCCGGCUCUGUAAAUCUCUCGUUAAAUCCAGCGUCCUAAGCGUUGGGCUGCGAGGGGAACUGCAGAGCUUGAGGGUGGGAGAGGUCAGCGGUAUUCCUGGGGUAGGGGCGAAAUCCAUUGAUCCCAGGAGGACCACCAGUGGCGAAGGCUGCUGACUUGAACACGCCUGACGGUGAGGGACGAAAGCUGGGGUAGCGAAUCGGGAUUAGAUACCCGAGUAGUCCCAGCCGUAAACGAUGCAGGCUAGGUGUUGGGUUGGCCACGUGCUAGCUCAGUGCCACAGGGGAAGCCAUUAAGCCCUGCCGCCUGGGAGUACGGCCGCAAGGCUG
rnacentral:rRNA from 1 species